CCUGAGAAACGGCUACCACAUCCAAGGAAGGCAGCAGGCGCGAAAAUUACCCACUCCCGGCACGGGGAGGUAGUGACGAAAAAUACGAAUACGGGACUCACUCGAGGCUCCGUAAUUCGAAUGAGUACAAUCUAAAUCCUUUAACGAGGACCAAUUGGAGGGCAAGUCUGGUGCCAGCAGCCGCGGUAACUCCAGCUCCAAAAGCGUAUAUUAAAGUUGCUGCAGUUAAAAAGCUCGUAGUUGGAUCUUGGUCGUGCGGUCACGUUUCGUCGUUUGAUUCUUGCUUCGGUGAGUUUCAGGCGGUGAUGAGGUGGUCGUGCAGCCUUUCAGCCGUGUCUGCGUGAGCAGGUGUUGGCUGGCCGGUGGGCUUGCUCGCUGGUUAGUUGACAUGUUUCCUGAUGCCUUUAAACGGGUGUCGGGGGCGUACGGCACUUUUACUUUGAACAAAUUUGAGUGCUCAAAGCAGGCCCAUGUGCCUGAAAAGUCUUGCAUGGAAUAAUGGAAUAGGACUUCGGUUCUAUUUUGUUGGUUUUCGGAUCCGAAGUAAUGGUUAAGAGGAACAGACGGGGGCAUUUGUAUGGCGGCGUGAGAGGUGAAAUUCUAUGAUCGUCGCCAGACAAACUACAGCGAAAGCAUUUGCCAAGAAUGUUUUCAUUGAUCAGGAGCGAAAGUCAGAGUUUCGAAGACGAUCAGAUACCGUCCUAGUUCUGACCAUAAACGAUGCCAACUGACAAUCCGCGGCGGUUCUUUAAUUGGCCCCGCGGGCAGUCCCCGGGAAACCCUUAAGUCUUUGGGCUCCGGGGGAAGUAUGGUUGCAAAGCUGAAACUUAAAGGAAUUGACGGAAGGGCACCACCAGGAGUGGAGCCUGCGGCUUAAUUCGACUCAACACGGGAAAACUCACCCGGCCCGGACACUGUGAGGAUUGACAGAUUGAUAGCUCUUUCUUGAUUCGGUGGUUGGUGGUGCAUGGCCGUUCUUAGUUGGUGGAGCGAUUUGUCUGGUUAAUUCCGAUAACGAACGAGACUUUGACCUACUAAUUAGUUUGCCUAUCCUCUGUGCUUGUGCAGGGCUCGGUUUCAGUUGCCUCCUUGAGGGGUGGUGGAGCCGUUGACCGGCGAGUACGGCGUGGUGCUUACUUCUUAGAGGGACAAGCGGCGCUGCAAGUCGCACGAAAUUGAGCAAUAACAGGUCUGUGAUGCCCUUAGAUGUCCGGGGCCGCACGUGCGCUACAAUGACGGUGCCAGCGAGCAUGAAAACCUGGCCCGAAAGGGUUGGGCAAACUUUUCAUCACCGUCGUGACUGGGAUCGGGGCUUGCAAUUGUUCCCCGUGAACGAGGAAUUCCUAGUAAGUGCAAGUCAUAAGCUUGCGCUGAUUACGUCCCUGCCCUUUGUACACACCGCCCGUCGCUACUACCGAUUGAAUGGUCAAGCUGAGGUAAUCGGAUUGGUGCUGUUUUAGCGGCUCUGUCGCUUGACUGGUACCGAGAAGAUGACCAAACUUGAUCAUUUAGAGGAAGUAAAAGUCGUAACAAGGUUUCCGUAGGUGAACCUGCAGAAG
rnacentral:rRNA from 1 species